rnacentral:lncRNA from 1 species
UGUCCAUAUAGAUGCUUAGGGGAGGCGUAUCCAUUUUGAUGGAAGGAAUGUCCAAAAUUUCUGGACAUUUAUAAAAGCUACCACAGAUGACUUCUUAAGUAACUUCCAACUUGAAGUCUCUGAUUUUAUGAAAUUUAUUUAUUUUUUUAAAUAUUUUUUUUAGUUAUACAUUGGCACAAUAUCUUUAUUUUGUUUAUUUAUUUUUAUGUGGUGCUGAGGAUUGAACCCAGGGUCUCACACGUGUCAGGCAGGCGCUCUACCGCUGAGCCACGACCCCAGCCCUGAUUUUAUGAAAUUUAUUGGCUAGGAAUUUGCUGCAUUUUAAACAUUUGAGAUUUAUAACUGGAGUUUCUUGAAAUUAUUUAUUGAGACUAUCAAAAAGGAUUUUUAGUUUGACUUACACACAAACACAUAUUUGAUAUUGUGAGAAAUACACAAUUAAAAUUGAGUUCUGUCAAGUAACUUAAUGAAAAUUAUGACUACAAAUGCAUAAAUAAGACUCUAAAGCAUUUUGACAAAUCAGGAGAAUUCAUCUGGUGUAGGCCAGGAGAGAGGCCAUGAUUCGAUUUGCAUACAGUUGACAGGUGUAGACAGUCUUGGAUGUCUACACUUGUCUUGUUGGAUAGAAAUAUCUUCUGAAAAUUAAAUUUGCCUACUGUGUUAGGUAACAGAUUAAACUUGGAGUGUUGUGCCUUAUAGGCAUAUGAAGUUAUGCUCAUCUAGACAGAGACUUAACCCUCAGAAGAAUCUCUAUUCUAGAAACUACUAAAACAGAGUAUAUGAGCUGGCUCUUGUUACUCAUCUUUUUCUUAAUUUCUAAAUGACUUGAUCUAGGUCUAACUAUUGCUUUCAUUAGUCCACUAGAAUUUAUCAUGCCCUUUGGGUCCUCCUGAUAGCUGACCCUGGGCAUGACUUCUGCUUCUAUAACUAGUUUUUAGCAUUUUUUCCUAUUUUCUAAUGGUAUCUGACCCUUGACCCAACCUGGAUUUGUUUUUGCAUUCCAAGAAGGUGCUGACAGGUCUACCCACCCUCAUCAUAUUGCUUAGAUCCACCUAUCAUAAAUUAUCCUUCCAAAAUUUUAGUGUGGGGCUUUGCUUCUCAUAGCUUUUUCCCUCCCUGGGGAAAAGCAUGUAUGUUUUCAUUGAACAAUCCUUAAGGAACCAAAUUCUGAUGGAAUUAGACCUGAAUUUUUUCUUGAUGUUUCCCAUUUCUUUUAUUCCUUUCCUAUGAAUAAUAGAAAUUAACAACUUGUCUUUUCCAGUAUUUAUUUUCCCCAUUUGAUUCUAAAAAUUCAUUAUCUUCUUUCUCAUCUAUUAGUGGUUUUAAAAGAUAUUUGCAGAAUAUUAUGCAGAAUUCCUGAUUGUUGUUCCCAAAGGGAACUCAGACAUAACUUUCAAAGAAAAUUUCAUUAAAAACAUGUAAUCUGCUGCCUAUUCAGUAAACAGUUUUCAUAUUUUGACCUCACUUUCAUUUCA